UGCUCAGUGGCACAAUGGUACUGCGUCCGACUGUUAAUCGGAAGUGUGUAGGUUCGAUUCCUACCUGAGCAG
rnacentral:tRNA from 2 species